rnacentral:ncRNA from 2 species
GUACGCUGCCCGGGUUACAACAACUUCACGUUCGCGGUGGGGGAAGCCGGUCUGAAUCCGGCGCUGACCCGCAACCGUAGGCCACCUCGGGGUGGCGAGCCGGAGCACCUGUCGCAGACGUCUUGACACA